rnacentral:rRNA from 1 species
UACGUGAGGGGCGAACGUUGUUCGGUGUCACUGGGCUUAAAGGGUGCGUAGGUGGUUGCGUAAGUAAGGUGUGAAAUCCCUCGGCUUACCCGGGGAAUUGCAUUUUAUACUGCGUGGCUUGAGGACUAAAGGGGAAAAGGGAACUCCAGGUGUAGCGGUGAAAUGCGCAGAUAUCAGGAGGAACACCAGCGGCGAAGGCGGCGCUCUGGGCCGGAACUGACGCUGAGGAGCGAAAGCGUGGGUAGCAAACAGG